rnacentral:lncRNA from 1 species
AGGCACUGGAGCACUCGUCCAGCCUGUCAGAAGAGCAGCAACACUGUGCAGAAGGUGAAAAAGUGGGUGCCAUGCCUGGAACCAGAGGUCUUUAUGUUCACACAAGCCUUGAAAGACUGAGUCAAGAAUAGUGGUGCACACCUGUAAUCCCACGCUCAGGACGCCGGCUGAGGCCGAGGCUCAUGAGUCUGAGGCCAGCCUGGGCAACAUGCAGAGAUUGUCUCAAGGGGAAAAAGAGGAAGAGUAAAAGAAGAUUUGAAAGUUGAGCUGAGCGGAGCCGCGUUGUCUGGUAGCUGGGCAGGUGGUGGUGUGGCCAGUGCACGCAGAGAUGAGGCGGAGUGGGGAGAGCGUUCCAUGCUGCAAGCAUUUCCUCCUGGCCGGAGACACUGGCAUUGGCAAGACUCAGUGGAAAAAGAUGGAGCCAGAGAGGUUUGUAGGGGCGCUUUGAACUUGCUUCUGGGAGCUGCAACUUUGUCCUUAAAGCAGUGGAAAGCUUUAAAUAGCCAUCUCCCUGCCUCCGCCCUCCUUUUUAGCAGAGGCAGGACGGAGUUAGAUUUUCAUUUGAGAGAUUAAAUCAGCUUCUCUUUGGAGGAGA